GGAAGCGUUGGCGGCACAGACGGCGCUAAUCCGCCAUAUGGCAAUGGGAAAAAAACAGCGUGGUGCGCCGGGUUUGCUUCCCGUUGGAGUCGGUCUUGGAGAUUGUAGAUUUGGAGGAGCAGAUUACGCCGGAGAGGAGCAAAGAUUAUACCUCCCAAGUGUCUGCCCUCCUCGGCCAAGCGGCUUUGCAGAAGUCAAUUAAAAAACUUUUCUCCGAAGCUGUGAUGGAAAACCACAAUAUGGACGGCAAAAACGGAAAGUUGAGCCUUCGGACGUACCAGAAGUUGUUGAAUGUAAUACUGGAGCUAGUUCAAACGAUACUUCCGGGGCAGCCAGCGGAAGGAGCGCUUCGGAGUGCACUGGCUUGCGCCAAAAAUACCGCGAACAAGGCGAAAAACAGAAAGUUGAAGGAAGGGGCCAAAAUGUAAUAU